rnacentral:lncRNA from 1 species
AUGGUAGGAGGCAGCGCUCCAAUAUCAGCAUGGUGUGUGCACCAAGUGAUGCGUGAAGUCAGUCCUGGCUCCUCGGGCUCCCGGAGACCGACAGGGCGAGCGCUGAAAACAAGAACAAAGCUCCCUCUGCCCCCCCUCCCCCCCUCCUACCCCCACCAACCAACCCCAGCUCGCCCCGGCGGCGGCUGCUGCCGCUGCUGCUGCUGCUGCUGCUGCUCCUGCCGCCGCCGCCGCCGCUGCUUCUGCCGCCGCAGCUGCUGCAAACCACCCCCCCAUCUCUCACCGCCCCCCCCAAAAAACCCUUCCAGCUUUACCUUCACCGCCGUCCUGUCCCGCUUACACGCAGCUAAGAUGUGGGGGAAGGAGAGAGGAAAAAAAAAACCCUUCCUUAAGGAAAUGGAAGCAGCCGGGAGGGGGAAGGGGGGGGAGGAAAAAAAAGAAGCAGAGGAGGCUCUGGCCGGGGAGUGUGGAACAUUGAAAGUCGGAGGGGGUUGUGUAGUGCGGCGCUCUGGCCGGAGGGUGGCGCCGCCCAGCGCCUUUGCAAAAAAAAAAAAAAAAAAGAGGAGAGAAAAGAAAACGGGGGUGGAGGUGGGGUGGGGGACGGAGAGGGGAAGAGGGGAGGAGGAGGCGCCGCUGCUGUGCGAGGGCGAGAGCUCCCCGGGAGCCCAGAUGGAACGGGGGAGAUCCGAGAGUUCUACGGCCUCCCCUGUCCCCGCUCGCCUCCUGAUCGGUGCAGUCAGCAAGUUCCCUGCGAGCUGGGAGGGAAGGGGAGGGGUGCGGGAGGGAAGGGGAGGAGGAGGGGAGGGGGAGGAGGAGGCGGCGCGCGUGCUCGCUUGCCUGGCUGUGGGGCGCGCGCCGGCGGCCCGGGCUGGCUCCCUCCCGUCGUUCGCUCUCUCUCUCUCCCUCGCUCGCUCGCUCUCUCCCGCCCCCCCUCCCCCCAACGCUUCCCUUCACCCGGGGGGCGCACGCGUCCGCCCGCCUGGGCCGGCCAAGGACAAAGAGUGCGCCGCCCGCCGGGGACAGGGGCGGACUGGCCCGAAGGAAUGCGCCGGGCCGGCCAGCCAGCCAGCCCCGGGGAGGGCGGGGGCACCAGCCCGAGGGGCCAGAGGGCCGAUUUUGCAGCAGGGUGGUUUCCGGCCUGCACCACUCAACUCUCCCUACCCCACCGCCCUUCCCGGAGCUACCCACUGGACUACCCACCCCUCGGGUCCGCGCGGGGGAGGAGGAGGAGAGAGCUCGCAGUCUGGUGCACCUCGGCAGUGCCAGCAGGGAGGGUCACCCCCAAAGGCUCUCCUCCCCCUGCCUGGCACCCUUCCCCCAGUGCAGGAGGCGGCGGCGGUGGCUCUGGAUACUAAAGGGUUGGGUAUUGGGGGAGGGUGGAUCCUCAGGGCCCAGGAUCUCGGCCCUGCCACCCCAGACCUUUCGUUGCUGUCGGAAGCCACCCCGCCGCCUCCCUCCUGCCCUGGAAGAUUGAUUGAUAUUUACUGA